AACGAACGCUGGCGGCAUGCCUAACACAUGCAAGUCGAACGAUCCCUUCGGGGAUAGUGGCGCACGGGUGCGUAACGCGUGGGAACCUGCCCUUAGGUUCGGAAUAACUCAGAGAAAUUUGAGCUAAUACCGGAUAAUGUCUUCGGACCAAAGAUUUAUCGCCUUUGGAUGGGCCCGCGUUGGAUUAGCUAGUUGGUGGGGUAAAGGCCUACCAAGGCGACGAUCCAUAGCUGGUCUGAGAGGAUGAUCAGCCACACUGGGACUGAGACACGGCCCAGACUCCUACGGGAGGCAGCAGUGGGGAAUAUUGGACAAUGGGCGAAAGCCUGAUCCAGCAAUGCCGCGUGAGUGAUGAAGGCCUUAGGGUUGUAAAGCUCUUUUACCCGGGAUGAUAAUGACAGUACCGGGAGAAUAAGCCCCGGCCAACUCCGUG
rnacentral:rRNA from 1 species